CCUACGGGCGGCAGCAGUAGGGAAUCUUUCACAAUGGGCGAAAGCCUGAUGGAGCAACGCCGCGUGCAGGAUGAAGGCCUUCGGGUUGUAAACUGCUUUUAUAAGCGAGAAAUAUGAUGGUAACUUAUGAAUAAGGAUCGGCUAACUACGUGCCAGCAGCCGCGGUCAUACGUAGGAUCCGAGCAUUAUCCGGAGUGACUGGGUGUAAAGAGUUGCGUAGGUGGCAUAAUAAGUAGCUAGUGAAAUCUGGUGGCUCAACCAUUCAGACUAUUAGCUAAACUGUUAAGCUCGAGACCGUUAGGGGUAACUGGAAUUUCUAGUGUAGGAGUGAAAUCCGUAGAUAUUAGAAGGAACACCAAUAGCGUAGGCAGGUUGCUGGGACGGUUCUGACACUAAGGCACGAAAGCGUAGGGAGCAAACAGGAUUAGAUACCCGAGUAGUC
rnacentral:rRNA from 1 species